rnacentral:lncRNA from 1 species
UUUUCUCCACGCCUUCUUCCAGGCAUCAAAGCUGCAGUGCCCAUGGGUUGUGACCACAGGGGAGUUGUGUUGCAUCUGCAAAUCUCUGCUGUACAUCAAGAGCACAUCUGAACAGAGCCACUGUGGACACUGAAGAGCUGGAGAGGACAUUGCGGAGGUUCGGAGGCACACCGUGAUGGUGGGAGCCAUUCCACGGCAGCCACGCCGCUUCUGGGGGGUGCCUGACUGGCAGGUGUCUUCAGCUAAUUGUGCCAACGACCGCCUGCUGCAGGGCAGGGAGGUUAAUCCGGAGCAAAGCAGGGUCCUGAUGCAGAGGGAUGCUGUGCUGCAGAGCACCUCGUAGUAGAGGGCUCACACAGAGAUCCUGAGUGAGAGAGGGCCCAGCUCACACCCCCUGCCCUUGCACCCUGACCUGUGGCACUUUACAGUCCCCCUCCUGCUGCUGCAUGGGCUCCACUGGGA